UACGUAGGGUGCGAGCGUUAAUCGGAAUUACUGGGCGUAAAGCGUGCGCAGGCGGCUCUGCAAGUCAGCUGUGAAAUCCCCGGGCUUAACCUGGGAACUGCGUUUGAAACUACGGAGCUAGAGUGCGGCAGAGGGGGGUGGAAUUCCACGUGUAGCAGUGAAAUGCGUAGAUAUGUGGAGGAACACCGAUGGCGAAGGCAGCCCCCUGGGCCGACACUGACGCUCAGGCACGAAAGCGUGGGGAGCAAACAGG
rnacentral:rRNA from 1 species